rnacentral:rRNA from 1 species
GAUGAACGCUAGCGAUAGGCCUAACACAUGCAAGUCGAGGGGCAUCACAUGAAGUAGCAAUACGGAUGGUGGCGACCGGCGCACGGGUGAGUAACACGUAUGCAACCUGCCUUCAACAAGGGGAUAACCCGUUGAAAGACGGACUAAUACCCUAUAACACAGGGGUCCCGCAUGGGAAUAUUUGUUAAAGGACAACCGGUUGAAGAUGGGCAUGCGUUCCAUUAGCUGGUUGGUGAGGUAACGGCUCACCAAGGCAACGAUGGAUAGGGGAACUGAGAGGUUUAUCCCCCACACUGGUACUGAGACACGGCCCAGACUCCUACGGGAGGCAGCAGUGAGGAAUAUUGGCCAAUGGACGCAAGUCUGAACCAGCCACGUCGCGUGAAGGAAGACGGCCCUACGGGUUGUAAACUUCUUUUAUACGGGAAUAAAGUGCCCCACGCGUGGGGUUUUGCAUGUACCGUAUGAAUAAGGAUCGGCUAACUCCGUGCCAGCAGCCGC